GCUCCAGUGGCGCAAUCGGUUAACGCGCGGUACUUAUAUGGCAGUAACUGUUGGGCAAUGCCGAGGUUGAGAGUUCAAGCCUCACCUGGAGCA
rfam:Xenopus tropicalis strain Nigerian Chr03_contig_3147, whole genome shotgun sequence.